CACUUGCGCAUCCAGCUUGCAACCAUGUCACCUUACACUGUUCUACUUAUUUACGGAUACGCCAUUAGAUAAACGUCAGGCGUUAUUCAAUUUGAUUAACUGGGACAGCCUCAUAUAAAAUUUGGAUAAAGAUUAUGAGGCACAAAAAUAAAAUCUGAAUACAUUCCACUUCAUACAAAACAAGGAUUCUAAAAAAGAGUAGUUUUAUUCAAUUCAAACUCUUUAAAACAUACUUAAAAACUAAUCAAACUUUCCCUUUUUUUAAUCUCUCUAAAUUGAGAGCUUAUCUCUCUAGAAAUCUAGAGCCUUAUCCCCAACCGCUUCCACCGUCUUCCACCAUCUUCCACCUUCAUCAACUCCUUCAAUCUUCUUUAACUCAAGUUCAAUCAUCAAUCCAGUAAUAAAAAAUAAAUAAAAAAAAAAUAAAAAAAAAAUAGGGAAAGGGGUUAUUGCAGAACAAAACAGAGGAGUACUUCAAGUUCAAUCUUCUUAGUUCAAUAGUUUGAUUUUUUUUUUUUUUUUUUUUUUUUUUUUUUUUUUUUUUUUUUUUUUGCUUGAUAACCACUUUUUCCCUUCAAUUUCCUUGUUCUUUGCGGUUAACUAGUAAAUAUUCCACUAUUUUGUUGUUCCCCUGUGUCGAUUAAGAUGACGGUAACUCAACCCUUUGCUCACACUCACACAUGCCGAAGUGGCUCAUCCUCAAGCCUUAAUCCCUAUUUUCUUAAUCAUCUGGUACUGGGUAAGUUUAUAGAUUACAGGAAUUUCUCAGAGACUCGAAUCCAAAAGUGGGUUUCGAACCAGUGGAUUAAAUUUGGGAUAAUUACAGUUCAGAAGUUAGACAAUAUUUUUCUUUUCCUUUGUGAGGAUAUUCGUGAUAAAGAUGCUAUGCUACAACAGGGCUCGGCUGCGUAUCAAGCGGCUCUCUUGAUCUUUACAUCUUGGACGCCGGGGUUUAUGGAGGUGAUGGUGGUGGUGACGGUGGUCGCGGUAUCCAUUACGGUGCUUUGAUUUCUAGGAUUUUGGAUUAUAGCUGAGAAGAGAUUUAAGACUACCACUCCUCUCCUCACUACCACAUGCACGGGACUGCAUUGUGGAGGUGGUUGAAACAUUAGCCACAACACAUAAUAUUCAAACUAUUGCAUAGGAUGCUGCAAUUAGGUGGAAGGAGAUUUCUGGCUGUGAUGAAGCUGAGCUCGGGGAAGAAGAGUUUGCUAAAAAAAUGCACAACCAACAUGAUCUACAAGCACAGGUAGAGUUUAAUUAACACUUUCAAUGGCUGUGAGUAAUUGUUGCUGAGUGUCACAUGAAAAUAGAGAUGUUAAAGUAUAUGGGUAAAUUUCACACGGAUGACCAAUCGGCUAUUCUUGAGAAGGUGCAUGGGGAGUGAAAUGGAGCGGAAGUAUAGUGACUAGCCAUCUAACAAAUGGUGCAUAUAUGUUGGCGACUCUUAUUCAAGUUCCGUCUUUGUGAAGAUUUGGAUAUUUCGGCUUAAAAAUAUAUGUUGACAAUUUGUAUUUUGGACGAUCAAAUUAAUUAUCUAACUUUUAUUUA